CGGCAGGCUUAACACAUGCAAGUCGAGCGCCCCGCAAGGGGAGCGGCAGACGGGUGAGUAACGCGUGGGAAUCUACCCAUCUCUACGGAAUAACGCAUGGAAACGUGUGCUAAUACCGUAUACGUCCUUCGGGAGAAAGAUUUAUCGGAGAUGGAUGAGCCCGCGUUGGAUUAGCUAGUUGGUGGGGUAAAGGCCUACCAAGGCGACGAUCCAUAGCUGGUCUGGGAGGAUGAUCAGCCACACUGGGACUGAGACACGGCCCAGACUCC
rnacentral:rRNA from 1 species